GGGCUGGGGAGGGAGCCCCCCAGGCUGCGGGGUGGCCCCGGGAUGGCAGCGCCUCGGGCUCGGGGCCCCUCGGGGAGAAGUUGGGUUCGGGCCGCGGCGGCGCGAGGCUGCGUUCGCUCGGUGCGAAACUGCGAGGGCUGCACACGAGCGUGGCGGAGCCGGUUACCCUGAGGAGCUGGCGGGGACAGAGAAAGGGGGAAGAGCGAGCCCGGGGUGGAAAUCGGAAGCGAUUCUGGUACUUUUCAGCGAGUUGCUGUGGUAACUGCGCAGAACUCGGCUCCGAGGGCCAGACAAUGAAACCUUUACUCAGAGCGAGUUGCGAGGAGCCACUCAUUUCGCGACCGAGCUGAUGGUAACUCACGGGCCCUCGGGCAGGAUGGUUUUUCCCAAAUGGCGUUUGUCACUCAGGGCCCGGCCCGCUGCUUCUCUCCCAGCCCUGCUGAAGGCGAGGGCAGCGCCUGCCCGCCAGCCCACCCCGAGGAUAUUUUUAGGCCGGCCUUCCCGUACCAGGACCCACGUAGGCCCUCCGUCACCCCCCCGCCCGUGUGGACACAAGCCCUGUGAGCCCAUCCCCGUGCCGGGGGGUGCCGGGGCCUGCAGCCCCCCGGGCCCUGCGCUGUGGCUGACGCUCUGCUUCUGUUCGCAGGUUUGCGAUGCACGCAGCCGGCCGAGUCCUGCCUCAACGGGGGCAAGUGCGAAACUUUUCUCAAUGGGACGGAGGUGUGCCAGCUGGUGUCCCGGCGCAUUUAAUAAAGCAAGACCUGGAUGGGACUUUGUAAAGAAACCGCCGGUUCAGCCCAGCGCCGCUUUUCGGUGCCGUGGCACGUCGUGUCCCACGCGGGCGAGGAGGAGCCGGGCGGCUCUGCCUGGGCUCUCCUGGGAGCGCGGUGCAGCCUUUGCUUUCCUCCUGGCUGCGUGUGCCAGGAACCGCGGGGCGAGCGGCAGGAGAGGCGCCGUCAGCCCGGCCGUGCCCGCUUGCUGGCAGGGGGUGGACGCCGAGGGGUCGCGUGGGCGAAGGGAGCCAUCCCCUGACUCCUCCGUGCUGCUGAGAGCUCAGCGCGGCAUCCCCGACGUACCCGAUCUCCCUGCGCCCACCUUCUGCCAGCCGCGUGGUGCUGCGGGGCCCCGAGCCAUGCGGUGGUGCUGGGGCAGCAGCUGAGGGUGAGGUGGGAGCUGACGCGGGACGUGGGGCUCCGCUUUGCCGGCGGGAGAGGUUUUCCUUCCCCUCGCCCUGCGGGGAGCUCGGCGGGGCGUUCCCGAGGGUGAGGCUGCUGGGGAGCUGUCCCGGGGCCGGCCCUGCGCCCACACGGCCCCCGGUGAUGCUCCGUGCCGGAGGGGCCGGUGGGGAGGCAGGAGGAUUUCCUCCUUUAGCCAGUAGCGUGCAAAUAAAACCAGGAGAAAGGUGGAAACA
rnacentral:lncRNA from 1 species